CCUACGGGAGGCAGCAGUAAGGAAUAUUGGACAAUGCUCGCAAGAGUGAUCCAGCCAUGCCGCGUGCAGGAAGAAUGCCCUAUGGGUAGUAAACUGCUUUUGAACUAGAGAAAACCCCAGUACGUGUACUGGGCUGAUAGUAUAGUUAGAAUAAGCAUCGGCUAACUUCGUGCCAGCAGCCGCGGUAAGACGAAGGAUGCAAGCGUUAUCCGGAUUCAUUGGGUUUAAAGGGAGCGUAGGUGGACUGAUAAGUCAGUGGUGAAAUCUCCGAGCUUAACUCGGAAAUUGCCAUUGAUACUGUUGGUCUUGAGUACAGUUGCUGUGGGCGGAAUAUGACAUGUAGUGGUGAAAUACAUAGAGAUGUCAUAGAACACCGAUUGCGAAGGCAGCUCACAAAGCUGUAACUGACACUGAGGCUCGAAAGUGCGGGGAUCAAACAGGAUUAGAUACCCUGGUAGUCCGCACCGUAAACGAUGAUUACUCGCUGCUAGGGGGCAACCUUUAGUGGCUUAGCGAAAGCGAUAAGUAAUCCACCUGGGGAGUACGCCGGCAACGGUGAAACGUCAAAGGAAUUGACGGCUUGAGACNGCGACGGACGACACGAGGGAGGAGG
rnacentral:rRNA from 1 species